rnacentral:tmRNA from 1 species
GAGGAUGAAAUCAAAUCUAUCAAGCUUUAAUAUGUUGCCUGUUUGGUGAUAGAAGAUUUAUCAACGCUAAAGCCUAUUAAACGGCAAACAACAAACAAACUACGCUUUCGCAGCCUAAGAAACUGUGUGCGUGCUUCUACCCUGCAUCGCCCAUGUGACAGGGAUAGGGGCUAACUAGUAGUGGGAUACGCCGCUUGGUCUCCGCCUGGGGUCAACGGAAGAAGAUAAUCAGGCUGACCCAACGUAUAGCCGGUUACGGGGCGAUACUCGGGUGACAUCAAAACUGUGACUACACUCGUAGAAGCUUAUGUGCCGUUAUCUUCGGACAGGGGUUCGAAUCCCCUC